CGCCAAUAGAGACAUUUCCGUAAGUCAUUCUUUCCCGCUCAGCUACGCGGGGAGUCAUGUGCUGCGAUGGCUCUUAUGUUGCUGACAAGCUAGCCUGGCCCUGAGUAAACAGCACUUCAUCAUCAACACAACCCAACUGUACAUACAGGUGAAUGUGAAGAAUUCUCUUUUGGCCCGUGAAGUCUUCAGGAGCUCAGAUCUCCCUCAUCACGACCAAACUUCCCGUGUCAUUAGCCUCAUGUAUGAGGCACUGAGGCAGACUUUAAAUACAGCUUAGCAAUGAUCUGUAUGCCCUGCCUUCAAGGCAGAGAGGACUUGGGAUCAA